AGCGAACGCUGGCGGCAGGCUUAACACAUGCAAGUCGAACGCCCCGCAAGGGGAGUGGCAGACGGGUGAGUAACACGUGGGAACGUACCCUUUGGUUCGGAAUAACUUGGGGAAACUCGGGCUAAUACCGGAUAAGCCCUUAUGGGGAAAGGUUUACUGCCGAAGGAUCGGCCCGCGUCUGAUUAGCUAGUUGGUGAGGUAAUGGCUCACCAAGGCGACGAUCAGUAGCUGGUCUGAGAGGAUGAUCAGCCACACUGGGACUGAGACACGGCCCAGACUCCAACGGGAGGCAGCAGUGGGGAAUAUUGGACAAUGGGGGCAACCCUGAUCCAGCCAUGCCGCGUGAGUGAUGAAGGCCUUAGGGUUGUAAAGCUCUUUUACCCGGGACGAUAAUGACUGUACCGGGAGAAUAAGCCCCGGCUAACUUCGUGCCAGCCGCCGCCGUAA
rnacentral:rRNA from 1 species